AAAAAAAGGAAAAGAAAACAGGAAAAGACGAAAUUCUGAAUCCAGUGCCCGUUCCUUGCAGAUCCACCAACAGUGGUACCAGCCUCUAGUCUCAAUGUGAGGUUUGACUCCAGGACGAUGAAUUUAAGCUGGGACUGCCAAGAAAACACAACCUUCAGCAGGUGUUUCUUAACUGACAAGAAGAACAGAGUCGUGGAACCCAGGCUCAAUAACAAUGAAUGUUCGUGCACAUUUCGUGAAAUUUGUCUGCAUGGAGGAGUCACUUUUGAGGUUCACGUGAAUACUAGCCAAAGAGGAUUUCAACAAAAACUGCUUUAUCUAAAUUC
rnacentral:sRNA from 1 species